ACGGGAGGCAGCAGUGGGGAAUAUUGGGCAAUGGACGCAAGUCUGACCCAGCAACGCCGCGUGAAGGAAGAAGGCUUUCGGGUUGUAAACUUCUUUUAAGGGGGAAGAGUAGAAGACGGUACCCCUCGAAUAAGCCACGGCUAACUACGUGCCAGCAGCCGCGGUAAUACGUAGGUGGCAAGCGCUGUCCGGAUUUACUGGGUGUAAAGGGCGUGUAGCCGGGUCUGCAAGUCAGAUGUGAAAUCCAUGGGCUCAACCCAUGAACUGCAUUUGAAACUGUAGGUCUUGAGUGCUGGAGGGGCAAUCGGAAUUCCUAGUGUAGCGGUGAAAUGCGUAGAUAUUAGGAGGAACACCAGUGGCGAAGGCGGAUUGCUGGACAGUAACUGACGGUGAGGCGCGAAAGCGUGGGGAGCAAACAGGAUUAGAUACCCUGGUA
rnacentral:rRNA from 1 species